rnacentral:rRNA from 1 species
CUACGGGGCGCUCCAGUGAGGAAUUUUGCGCAAUGGGGGAAACCCUGACGCAGCAACGCCGCGUGAGUGAUGAAGGCCUUCGGGUCGUAAAACUCUGUCAAGUGGGAAGAACCUAUGUAAGGUUAAUACCCUUAUGUACUGACGGUACCACUGAAGGAAGCACCGGCUAACUCCGUGCCAGCAGCCGCGGUAAUACGGAGGGUGCAAGCGUUAUUCGGAAUUAUUGGGCGUAAAGGGCGCGCAGGCGGUUUUGUAAGUCAGAUGUGAAAGCCCGGGGCUUAACCUCGGAAGUGCAUUUGAUACUGCAAGACUUGAGUAUGGGAGGGGGAAGUGGAAUUCCUGGUUUAGAGGUGAAAUUCGUAGAUAUCAGGAGGAACACCAGUGGCGAAGGCGACUUCCUGGACCAAUACUGACGCUGAGGCGCGAAGGCGUGGGGAGCAAGCAGGAUUAGAUACCCCCGUAGUC